AAUUUAUUUCAACUUUCAGGCAGAGUAUAAUAUCUUUACCAUCAGUGGCUUGCUAGCCUCCCGCUUGCUAGCCUCCCGCUCUCUUCUUGAAAACCCAUGACAUUCUCACUUGACAUUUCAUGUACAUGGUCACAGUAUAUUGGCCGCCUUAAACUGGAAAACAGACGCGUGUAAAAAGAACAAGGCAAGCAUUUUAUGUAACAAUUAAAAACACCUCUGACUAGGACUGGUAAAAUAUAAUUAUGAGUUGGUUUUAAUUUUAAAAAUAUGAUUAUGGUUUUAUUUAAGAAUUAAAAUCAUAUUAAUUAUUUUUAAUAUGGGUUGUGUGGGU
rnacentral:lncRNA from 1 species